GAAGAGCAGAGUCAGGGAGAAUAACUCUGGUGGACUCUGGGGAUGGAUCCUUCACUGUGACCUUCAGUCAUCUCCAGCUGUCAGACUCAAAGAAAUACUGGUGUGGAGUAGAAAGGCCUUUUUUUGACACAUAUACCAAGGUACAGCUUACAGUAAAGAAAGUUGUUGAAACUGAGACAGCUGUCAUACUCAACGUUUUUUCUACAUGGACAUAUCAAAAUAUCCACACAACACACUUAGUGAUUGAAGGAGGAACCCUGAAGCCCACACACCUUUCAAAAGGCACCAUCAUCUAUGCUACUGUUGGGGGUGCUAGUCUAAUCGCUGUCUUGCUGCUGGCAGUAUGGUUUGGGAAGUCCAAACAAACCUCAAAAGAAGAACUACAAGUUUACUGCAACAUUUCACACCUUAGAAAAGACAAAAAAAGAGAGGUCAGCUGUGGCUUCAAUGAUGCUGAUAAGAAGACAAAGUGUAGUAAGAAGAGCUCUUGUGUCUUUACUCUCCAAAAAAGACCGGAGCCACCAACAUCCGAACCCACAACAAACAAAUGUAGCGUAACCAUUGAUACUGACGAUAACAUAUAUUUCACCAAACUUCCUGCACAUUCAGAAAAUUCACCCACAGAGGACCAAAAUGACUAUGCUAAUAACUCUGCCAUUUACAUUAUUCCUUUGCCAGAUAUUAUGUAUGACGCAACAGAUGAUGGCACUUGUAGAGAACACAUGCCUAAUCCUUAAACAUGCAAAAAUACAGAUCGCUGUGCAAACAGUGCAUCACCUUGUGUCUCCCGUGCCCCCUGUGAAUCCAGCGAAGACAAGCCCGGAUCACGUUGGUUUGGUUUAAACUUAUCAGGAACAAAUCCGAGUUCAUCUCAAAGAGUAAUGAAAAGAAAUGUCUUCAUCUUAUUAAGCAUGUACAUGAAAUUGCACUCUCAUUGUUUCAACCACUGUUUCAGCUUCAUGUCUAUGGCUACCUGUAUUUGCAUAAAUUAACAUUCUGGUGCAAAAACCUUGUUCUUACAACGUUAACCAGAUCUGAAAUACCACUUCAUUAACACUAACACUGGU
ensembl:lncRNA